rnacentral:rRNA from 1 species
UGAAUACGAGAUGCUACGGCGUCGAAGCAGUGUAUGUCAGACUUCCAAGAAAAGCUCGCAAUGUCAUAAAUAAAGAAUGCCUGUACCAUAACCGACACAGGUGGGUAGGUAGAGUAUACUAAGGGGCGCGAGAUAACUCUCUCUAAGGAACUCGGCAAAAUAACUCCGUAACUUCGGGAGAAGGAGUGCCUUCUUUAAGAAGGUUGCAAUAACAAGAUCCAAGCAACUGUUUAUCAAAAACACAGGUCUCCGCUAAGUCGUAAGACGAUGUAUGGGGGCUGACGCCUGCCCAGUGCCAGAAGGUUAAAGAAGUUGGUUAGCUUUUGCGAAGCUGAUGACUGAAGCCCUGGUGAACGGCGGCCGUAACAAUAACGGUCCUAAGGUAGCGAAAUUCCUUGUCGGGUAAGUUCCGACCCGCACGAAAGGCGUAAUGAUUUGGAUACUGUCUCGGAGAGGGACUCGGUGAAAUAGACUUGUCUGUGAAGAUGCGGACUACCUGCACCAGGACAGAAAGACCCUAUGAAGCUUUACUGUAACUUGAAAUUGAAAUUGGACUUUAUUUGCGCAGUAUAGGUGGAAGGCGUUGAAAGUAAUCUUGCGGGAUUAGUGGAGCCAUCAGUGAGAUACCACUCCUAUAAUGUUAGACUUCUAACUUUGGAUCAUGAUCUGGUCAAAGAACAGUUUCAGGCGGGCAGUUUGACUGGGGCGGUCGCCUCCCAAAUGGUAACGGAGGCGUACAAAGUUUUCCUCUGAACGGGUAGAAAUCGUAUCUAGAGUGUAAAGGCAUAAGGAAGCUUGACUGUGAGACCUACAAGUCGAGCAGGGACGAAAGUCGGUCUUAGUGAUCUGACGGUGCUGAGUGGAAAGGCCGUCACUCAACGGAUAAAAGUUACUCUAGGAUAACAGGCUGAUCUCCCCCAAGAGUUCACAUCGACGGGGAGGUUUGGCACCUCGAUGUCGGCUCAUCGCAUCCUGGGGCGGUAGUACGUCCCAAGGGUUGGGCUGUUCGCCCAUGAAAGCGGUACGCGAGCUGGGUUCAGAACGUCGUGAGACAGUUCGGUCCAUAUCCGGUGUAGGCGUUAGAAUAUUGAGAGGAGCCUUCUUUAGUACGAGAGGACCGAGAAGGACAUACCUCUGGUGUACCAGUUAUCGUGCCAACGGUAAACGCUGGGUAGCUAUGUAUGGAGAGGAUAACCGCUGAAAGCAUCUAAGUGGGAAGCCCACCUCAAGAUGAG